rnacentral:lncRNA from 1 species
CGUUUGUUCAAAUACCAUUAUCCAUAUAAUAUACAUAGAUAGAUAAGUACGGUACUGAUGGAGAGCCUCAGCCUCAAACGGGAACAAUUUCACUGUGAGGAGGGUCUGCUUCCUCGACCGAAAAAGUGGUGCUCGAAGGUUCAGCUUCUACAGUAUCUUGUGACCGCAAGGUGCUGCGCGCGGCGACGACGACGAUGAAAGUAGGAAUGGAUUGAAGAAGCUGAAAAAACCAGCUACAGAAGCGACGGAGAGUGUUGACAAGCGCAUGAAACCAAGGAGAAAAGCAUAUGCAAAAGAAGUAGGCAAUGCAAAAGAGAGGUGUUGGAAGCAGCAGCGAGGCCAGUACUGACAAAGCCAACGGACCAGAGAAGUCUCCAAACCUCAGAUGGGUUGGCAGUACUUCGAGCGAAACGUUGAGUGGGAUAUUGAGAGAAGUGAGAAGGAAGAAUAGUGUCAAAAUGGCUAGAAACAGCAUGGCCACGGCCCUGAAAAAGAAAUUACGCUCAUGAUCAUUGGCAACGAUGUUGAGUACUGGAAAGAGACAGGUUUCAUUUGAAGAGUUGAGAACGAGAAGGAAAAGGCUUAGCAUAGGUGGAACAGUAAAGCGCAGAUCAAUGUUGGAGACCAUUUUCUCCUGAGCCUAAGUAAUUGAAGUUUUUCAACCCGAUCAAACCUAGUUUGUGUUGCAUCCGUUACCAUUAUCUUCUUAAUUUAUACAACUUUUGUGUGGCAUCCAAAUUCAUUGGUCCUAUCAAGCAUGGCCCACAAAACGCGUCAAAGAAACCGCGUUAAAGAAAUGUUUCACAGGCACAUAACAAUUUCGUAUUUGACUACGGGAAAUUUUCGGCGUUUUGUAGUCCUUGUACUGAGGGUCCAGCUAACGUGCAGCUUAGGUAUGGGUACCCCUCAUUUUGUCCGGUUUGAGGUUUUGUAGUCCUUGUUCGGAGGGUCCAGCUAACGUGCGCCGUAUGCAUGGUACCCCUCAUUUUGUCCAUAUAUUAUAUUGGUGCCUCCAUUUUGUCCAUAUAUGAGGUGGCCGUUGAACCCAUCACAAAACUUACUUUAAUGACGUGGAAGUAUUUUCUUUGGCUUUUAUCAUUGAUAUCCUUACUAUUUUUAAAAAAGAUAAAAUAGUCAAAAACUUGAUUCAUAAUUUUAAAUUUUUAUAUUUUGAUCAAUUGACCUAAUUUGACUAUUAAAAUUAAUGAUAGUGUAAAGAUUAUAAUAUGUAAAACCUUUUAGUGCAUAGAAUCUUUUUUAUUUUUUGAAAGCAACAUAAUAUUGACUUCAUCUAUAAUAAAUAAGUUAAAUAUAUAAUAACAAUAUUUUAAUUUAUCAAUAAUAAUAAUAUUUUUAAAAGCAGAUAUAUAUAAUCAAUUUACUCAAUAAUAUAUAAUUCAAAAUAUAUAAUUAAAAUUUAAUUUAUUAAUGAUAAUAUGACCAAAUACAAUGUAGAAAAUUUCAUAAUAAUCAGCUAUGGUUUAGUAUUCAAAUGUAAAUGAUAGAAAAUAUACUCAAAAGUAUAAAUAAUAGAAAUAUAUUGGACUUCCUAUCAAAAAAAAAAAAGAAAUAUAUUGGACUUAUGUGUUAAAAUUUGAAUGCUUCUAAUUUUUUUUUCACUUUUCAGCAAAUAGGAGGGAGCAUAAAGUAAUUUACCAAAUAUUAGGGGUACCAUAGCUUCGUCAUUGUACUGAUGGGUCUAUCUAGGGCUGGCAAAACCCCGAGCUAGGUCCGGGUAUCGUAAUACCUAGACCCGGCCCGAAUGUAAAUUUUAGAUACCCGGAUUAAGUUUUUUAUGUUCGGCAUCGGGUCGGGUUUUUUAAUAUUAUAUGUGUAUUUUUUUGGUAAUUUUAUAAGUUUUAAAUUUAUUUCAAUAAAAUUUGACAUGAAAAUAUAAAAAUUUUAAGUGUUUAAAAUUUUAUAUAUGUGUAAUAAAUUAGUCAAAUAAAUAUAAUUAUUUAAAAUAACAUAUCUUUUAUAUUUUUUUUAAUAAAAUUCGGGUUUUAAGUUUAUCAAGUGAUGUUCAAGAUCGGAUCGAAUUAAUACCCAAAAUAACAUAUCUUUUAUAAUUUUUUUAAUAAAAUUCGGAUUUUGGGUUUAUCAAGUGAUAUCCAAGACCGGAUUAAAUUAAUACCCAACCCAAAAUACCUGGGUCCGGCCCGGGUUCGGACCAAACGAAUAUUUUUGCCACCCCUAGUUGUAUCUCCACUUUGCUCCCCUGCAGUUAGUAUUUCGUUUCAUACAUGUUUUAUAGACGAGGGCAAUAUCGUAAUUGAACACCUUAAUCUUAAAAAAUUCACAUUGAGUUUUGGAUUUUGUGUGAAAUUUGUUAAUAUCUAGUGGGGCAAUACACUGAAACAUGCCCUUACUCAUCAAAUAUUAACAAAAACAUUCAAACAGCGCUCCUCACUUUCUUCCACCAAAUCCGAAGCAACUAAGCUUAAAACCCAUAUAAAUUUCUCUCUAAUGCUUUGAUCAAGUACCUUGGCCACAACCAAGAGACUAUGACGACGAAGCCAAUGACUCUCAUACCGUCAACGAACGAUUCAUGACCGUGAGGUAAGAGAGUACCGACCAGUGAGUUUUUCCGGCGACUGGCCAAUGAGGUUGAGGUAUGUAUGAACAACUUUCAGUGCAUGUUAGUUUUAGUUUGCUUUCUUGAUGUGUUGAGAAAAAUGUGAAAUGGGUCUUCAAACUUGAUUGAGAAUGUGGCUGAUGCUUCUUAUUUUGUCAUCGAUUAAUGUUAUUUGUAGUUAAUGGAAUAAUCCAAUUGCAUGUUGAAAAUGAAUUGAUGCUUAUAGUUAGUAUUCUGUUCAAACAAAAUGUUUGAAUCCUGUUGUGGAUAAUGUUCUGGUAUUUGACAUACCUUGGUUGAAAAAUAUGAAAACGGGUUGCUUGCCAUUUUAUGUUGGGUCAGUGAGUUUCGACUUUAAGGUUCACAUAAAUGUCUUAUUUUGGUUGCAUAUCAGUUUGAAUUUCCUCAAUAAAAUGUGUCAACAGUGAAGCUGCUUAAUAGGUCUUGAUAUUGGCAUACAUUGAAAUGAUGAAGUAAUUGUUCUAUAAUGUGAAAAAAAAAAGAUAGAAAUUUUGUGAUAGAUCCAACUGCAAUGACAUGAUGAAUUGAUGAUUGCCAAUAACUUGUUGUUUCUGUUAUAAAUAGAAUCUUAAUCCCUUUGCAUUAAAUUUCUGCAAAAUGUUGUUAGAUUGAGUGUAUAAAUGUGAGCUAUCGCUGCUGUUGGACACUAAUUUAUCAAGUAUAUAUUGUAGUAUUUUGUGCAGCAUGACAGUGUUUGACAGUGACAAACAUGGUUGUUUGAAUCUGAUUGUAUUUGUGUUUACAUUAUCAUUAUCCACGUGUUAUAUUACGUUUGUUCAAAUAUCAUUAUCCAUACAAUAUACCAAGAUAGAUAAGUAGGUACUGAUGGAGAGCCUCAGCCUCAAACUGGAACAAUUUCACUGGGAGGAGGGUCUGCUUCCUCGACCGAAAAAGUGGUGCUCGAAGGCUCAGCUUCUACAGUAUCUUGCGACUGCAAGGUGCUGCGCGCGGUGACGACCACAAAAGUAGGAAUGGAUUGAAGAAGCUGAAAAACCCAGCUACAAAAGCGACUAAGAGUGUUGAUAAGCGCAUGAAACCAAGGAGAAAUGCAUAUGCAAACGAAGUAGGCAAUGCAAAAGAGAGGCGUUGGAAGUAGCAGUGAGGCCAGUACUGACAAAGCCAACGGACCAGAGAAGUCUCCAAACCUGAGAUGGAUUGGCAGUACUUCGAGCGAAACGUUGAGUGGGAUCUUGAGAGAAGUGAGAAGAAAGAAUAGUGUCAAAGUGGCUAGAAACAACAUGGCCACGGCCGUGAACAAAGGACUAUGCUCAUGAUCAGUGGCAGCGAUGUUGAGUACUGGAAAGAGAAAGGUUUCAUUUGAAGGGUUGAAAACAAGAAGGAAAAGACUUAGCAUAGGUGGAGCAGUAAAGCGCAGAUCAAUGUUGGAGACCAUUUUCUUUCUCAGAAGCCUAGGCUAAG